CCCUUAGAUGUCCGGGGCUGCACGCGCGCUACACUGAAGGAAUCAGCGUGCUAAAAACAUUGUCGAAAGGCAUUGGUAAACCCAUUAAAAUCCUACGUGAUUGGGAUCGGGAAUUGCAAUUAUUUCCCUUGAACGAGGAAUUCCCAGUAAGUGUGGGUCAUAAGCUCGCGUUGAUUACGUCCCUGCCCUUUGUACACACCGCCCGUCGCUGCCCGGGACUGAGCCGUUUCGAGAAAAGCGGGGACUGCUGCUGUCGGGGCUUUCGGGCCUUGGCUUCGGUGGAAACCGCUUUAAUCGCAGUGGCUUGAACCGGGCAAAAGUCGUAACA
rnacentral:rRNA from 1 species